rnacentral:snRNA from 1 species
GGAUAUGAGUGCUGUCUGGCUGCAACAUCUGUCACACCGUUGAUCUCCAGGGUUGUUUUGGCUGAUCUGGCUGGCUAAGCAGGUGUCCCCUUUCCACCACGCCAUUUUUUAAAAAUAAUUUAUUUAUUUAUUUAUUCAUGAGAAAGACAGGAGGAGAGAAAGAACCAGACAUCACUCUGGUACAUGUGCUGCUGGGGAUUGAACUCAGGACCUCAUGGUUAAGAAUCCAAUGCUCUAUCCACUGAGCCACCUCCCAGACCAUAGCAGGUGUCCCCUUUCUCCUUCAUCACUCCAAGUGCAUUCUUGAAUAGCGAUGGACUGAUCUUCAGUCAGGAGUAUAUGAAUAGCUACACUCCUCUGCUAGACCUUCCAAACAAGCUCUUCGAAGCACAGAGCUAGGGAUCAUGUCUGAACCUGUACUACUUUUUGACUUUGUAAAUAUUAAUUUUUAUGGGAG